GGAGCGGCCGAUAUCUGAUUAGCUAGUUGGUGGGGUAAAGGCCUACCAAGGCGACGAUCAGUAGCUGGUCUGAGAGGACGACCAGCCACACUGGAACUGAGACACGGUCCAGACUCUACGGGAGGCAGCAGUGGGGAUUUUGGACAAUGGGCGCAAGCCUGAUCCAGCCAUUCCGCGUGAGUGAAGAAGGCCUUCGGGUUGUAAAGCUCUUUCGCAAGGGAAGAAACGAUACAGUCGAAUAAACUGUGUUAAUGACGGUACCUUGAUAAGAAGCACCGGCUAACUACGUGCCAGCAGCCGCGGUAAUACGUAGGGUGCGAGCGUUAAUCGGAAUUACUGGGCGUAAAGCGUGCGCAGGCGGUUUUGUAAGUCAGAUGUGAAAUCCCCGGGCUCAACCUGGGAAC
rnacentral:rRNA from 1 species